AAAAUGCGUUAAAAUGUGAAAAAUCGAGAAGCAUCAUUGCUCAAGCAGCAUCAAGCAAUAGGGGGCGAGAAGCGGAUGACAAUUCUUUAUUCCAGAUUUGUCGGUUUCGCUCGAGCGAGUAGGUGGCGAAAAACUAGCGAAAAUUCGGCAACAAAUUUCUCGGUCCAUUAAUUUGAUCUACCCAGGACCACUUCGAAUACAACUCCAAUAGAAUUUGGGUCACACUACAACAUAUCUUUAUUCCGAUUUUCCUUUGAUAUGACAUUUUUUAUUCCUUAAAUCCCUUCCAAGACAACUUCAGUUGUGAGACGGAAAGUUUGCUACAGAUUUUGGAAAAAAUGAAACAGUAGAAUUUUUUUCUGUCUCUCAUUUCUUUCAUGUCUUACACUUAUGCUCCCCUUGUUGGUUAAACAACCUGUCUAACCAAUUUUUAGCAGUCAUGCAAGUAUUUUGUUUAAUCACUUAAAUCUAAAUCUACAUUUUAAUUGUGCAUUUCCCUCUUCGUUUUUUGUCUGCUCAACUUACUAAUUGUCAUCUAUAUAUCCUUGUAGUCACUUCUAGCCAAAAUUCACCUUGAAUUAUGCACAUCAGUUGUCUAGUCUUAUCGUACAAGCUUUCAGAUAAGUGAAUUAAGCAAUAUUAAUUAAGCACACAAAACAUGCCUAAUGGGCUAAUUCACGAUAAUUAAAUGUGACGUGUCUAAGCAAGAAUGAUAUGAAAAGUUCUGAUUAGCCUAAUGAAAAUUUCACAGCUUAGGAACAACACUUGCAUUUUUUCGUGAUCUGUUGUCCUGGGUAUACAUCGUCUCCCUCCCUUUCUUAGCAGUCACAUCCAACACGUUAUCUCUUUAUCUAGAUACCCCAAUUACUUUUCUAAUCUAACUUUUCUUUUUCAGGAGUUUUUUUGUUUUUAGAAUACAUACUUGAAGUAAUUUUACCUAAUUUUAUAAUAGCUGUUGAGCAAUCAUUGAGAAAGUUCAUGCUUCCUAUUCUAUUGGUGAGGUACGUAAGCUCCUUAAUACAUUGUUUCAUUAUCUUCGUGUUAUUGUACUUUGUUUAGUCCUUAAAAUUGACAUGAGGUGAGCAAUGUUUUUCUGGUUCAUCUUUACAAGGAUCCUAAUACUGGGAAGAUAAAAUUUCCAACUACUGGUACAACUGCAGAAGUACAAACUAGAAUUCUUCUCCCCAGUUCUUUUUUUUUUUCAUCCCUUCAUAAUUGAAUUAUAUGCCAUGAAUUUAGGUUACAUGUAAAGCAUAGCUAUUUUAUGUUUGCUUGUUUUAUUUGUUUGAAUAUAACUAAGAUUCCAUGACAUUGUGAAUGGAAAAGUACAAAUCUGUAUGUAGUUCUAAUUCUUACUUUAGAGAGAGUGACAUGCCAAUAUCUGCAUCCACACAAAUUCUUUUUCUUCUUUAAAAUAGAUUGCAAAUAUUAAUUUUAUGUUUCUUUUAGAAAUUAGUUUCAUGGAGUAUGCAACAUUUCAUAGCCGAAGCUUAGUUCUUUUGAAUAUUUGUUAUUUUUGUUAUGUUUUUAGUGCAUACUUUCAAAUCCAUACCAAGAGAAUGAAUAUAUGUCAAAUUGGGUCGAAUGGGAAAUUAUGUAAAUUAUCAAAAUUUUUGAUAUCAUCUAUUAUCUAUCACCUUGCAUGCUUUGGGGUAUUUGUAAAUUCACACAAGCACAUUGCCUUUUUAAUAUAUUGAAGGAGGAAGAUUGAUGUUAUGUUUGUCAUUUAAAUAAAUUUAGCUUUACUUGCUAGCAGUUGUUAUGAUAAAUUAAGACGGCAUGAUGCUUUACGUUAGUUUGAUUGUGUUGAAGAAUGUUGACGAGGAAGAAAAACUUGAUUAUUUUUUAAAUGAAUGGCAUGCUCAUUUGAACCUGUAUCCCUGGAACUUGAUACAGUAUGUUCCUUUGAAAUAUUCUUUUGGAACUUGUAUGUUUCAAAUUGCUCCUAUACUAUUUUCCUGAUCUGAUAGUCAUAAUCCAAUAUUUUCAUUAUUUUUUGAUUCCUUGAAAUGCACAAAAAAUAUGCAACAUGUCUAGAGUGAGUGAGUCCAACAUCCCAUAAUGAGUAACAUUGUUUUGCAAAUGCAAUAAUUAAAAUCACGAUUAACGACAUAGAUAAGCAAUGGAAAUAUUCUAAAUUCAGAAGGGACUUGGGUUUUGAUCCUGAAAAGCCCAUUGAAUGUGAUGAGAAGGACAACAUUUGCUGGAGAUAUUGCAGGGAGCGAGACUUUACAAUAAAUGGGUAGUGGAUAAGCCUAGCUAAAUUUUUUAAUAUUAUCUAACACUAGUGCUUUCUUUCACCUAUUGUUCUCAUUUCUUCUUAUUAUUAGCACUAAUGCACUGUACUACUUUUAUUAUUACUACUAUUGUUAUUAUCAUCAAUGAUGUUGUCAUUUCUUCUUCUUUAUUUCUGUUAUUCUUAUUAACUUUUUCAUUGUGGGGUUUGAAAAUCGAUUCUUUGGGUCAUUUUAUAUGUUUAAUUGAUUAAUAAUUUUUUCAAUUACAAAUUGAUGUUUAACCCAUAUGCGAAAUUAGUGUACGAAUACCUGGGCAGAGUUGAUUAUUUUAGGAAAGCUGAAGUGUGCAUGUAUCUGAAAAUGGAACUUUUAUUUUCGUCGAACCUUUUUCUAGAAUGUUAUUACAUCUAUUUUUCUGUUGCAGUUGAGAACCAUUAAACCUGCCAACAUCUAUUUCACAAAGGAUUGUGGGAGGCUUCUCAUGGAAAUAAAUUACAUAAUGGCAUAUGGUUAUGCAGAAGCUUCAUUGAGAAUAUUAUGGAGAAUAGGUCUCUUGGAAAUACUUCUAUCAAUUCAGGUACAAUGAUGAUGAUCCUAUAUCUAGAUAUGAUCAAUCAUAUACGGUAGAUAAUGUGUUGAAUUACCAUCCCGAUAAAGCUACAAAGAUGGGAGUUGGAUAUUAAAAUAUAUCAUGUUGGAAUAGCCAGUAGCCUUUUAGGGGGAGCACCAUAUGACUUCCUUGCACAAAUGUUUGCCUCUUUUCAGGCAGUCAGCGAAAGGAAUAGGGAUAAACGUUAUCACUAAUUUAUGAUGGAACUUGGGAUACAUUCAAAGGGAUUUGAGCUUCAAAUCUUAUUUAUUUGCCUAUUGUAAUUAAGGAUUGGCAGUCGGUAAUUGACAUGAAAAAAAAUGGAACUUUGGACUUUCAUAAAGGAAAGUAUUAGAGGACAUACAAGUCAAGAUUGAGAAAAGAAAUCAGAAUUGAAUCAGCAUUAUCUGUGAAUAGAACACGCGCUAUUUUCCUUCUUAGAUCGAAGAAUGUAAACUCUGAAGAAGCAUGGAAAAAAUUUGUAGAAUAUACUCUUUCUACUGACUUUCAAGAGAAAAUUCCCAAGUUCAGCAAAAUGAGAACAAUCAAAAGAUUUUACAUGCUAUAGGUCGAAAGGGUUAUCGACAUAUGGCUCAUGAUUUGGUCAUAAACAUCGUGAAAGAGUAAAGGAAUUUGGAUCUGGAGUUACACCAUCAAAAGUUGAUUGACGAAUUCAAAGCAAAUCUCGAGUGAGAGAACUUGAAAGCCAACUACAAACGCAGUCAAAAAGGGUGGGAGCACUAGAAGAAAAAGUUUAAGCGCUUCUAAAGUUAUCUCGAGUUAUGUAUUUUAUCAUUAUAUAUAAUAUGAUAACAUUGCUUUAAGUAAGUUAGUACGUAGAAUAACUUUUUACUUUUUGUAUUAUUUUACAGAGUCAAAAUAAGAAUAUAGAAGACAUGAGUUCAUGUGCUUUUA